rnacentral:rRNA from 1 species
AGUGAACGCUGGCGGUAGGCCUAACACAUGCAAGUCGAACGGCAGCACAGUAAGAGCUUGCUCUUACGGGUGGCGAGUGGCGGACGGGUGAGGAAUACAUCGGAAUCUACUUUUUCGUGGGGGAUAACGUAGGGAAACUUACGCUAAUACCGCAUACGACCUACGGGUGAAAGCAGGGGAUCUUCGGACCUCGCGCGAUCGAAUGAGCCGAUGUCGGAUUAGCUAGUUGGCGGGGUAAAGGCCCACCAAGGCGACGAUCCGUAGCUGGUCUGAGAGGAUGAUCAGCCACACUGGAACUGAGACACGGUCCAGACUCCUACGGGAGGCAGCAGUGGGGAAUAUUGGACAAUGGGCGCAAGCCUGAUCCAGCCAUACCGCGUGGGUGAAGAAGGCCUUCGGGUUGUAAAGCCCUUUUGUUGGGAAAGAAAAGCAGCAGGUUAAUACCCCGCUGUUCUGACGGUACCCAAAGAAUAAGCACCGGCUAACUUCGUG